rnacentral:tRNA from 1 species
GGAGAGGUGUCUGAGUGGUUUAAGGUGCACGCUUGGAAAGCGUGUAUGGAUUAACAUCCAUCGGGAGUUCAAAUCUCCCCCUCUCCG